UUGCGCGUGAGCCCUAGCAAGCACUCAGCCGCAGAAGGCUAUAACCUCUUUUUUCCCAUGGUUCUGUGUGAAGUAGGACAAAACAUAUUCCGUCAUUCCAUGUCUUGUUUGCGGUCUUCUCAGCCCUCGAGCUCAGCUUAAGCAGCCAGCAUCUCUGUAAUAUUUAGGUCACUUUUUUUAAGAGAAAAAAAAGAGAGAGUAGGGUUUCAAUGGAAAGUGCCAGUGCCUGUGCUCGAAUUUGGUCGAGAAAUGUGCCCAGAAAUGGAAGUGAAGCAAUGAGCAUUCUAUUUGUAGGGGUAUUGCCCGAGUUGCAGAGACACAAGGAGCAACGAUGCAUCAGUCGGAAACGAGAGAGAAUGCAAAUUUAGUAUUAUUUUAGAGAACUCUUAAUAGCACUCCAAAAAUCUCAUUAUACAUUUUUCAUAAAUGUAAUUUUCUUACUAAUUAUAGAAAGUUUAGAGUGCAAAAUAAGAUUUUUGGAGUGCCAAUAACAAUUAUUUUGUUUUAAGUUUAACAUUAUGCUAAAUUCGCUCUCCUCCUAGCUAAUGUUCAUUUUGUUGAUUUAGCUAGUGGGAUUGCUAGUCUGUUGGACUUCCA